rnacentral:rRNA from 1 species
GGCUACACACGUGCUACAAUGGGUAGAACAGAGAGUCGCAAAGCUGUGAAGUGGAGCUAAUCUCGGAAAACUAUUCUUAGUUCGGAUUGUACUCUGCAACUCGAGUACAUGAAGUUGGAAUCGCUAGUAAUCGCGAAUCAGCAAUGUCGCGGUGAAUACGUUCUCGGGUCUUGUACACACCGCCCGUCACACCACGAGAGUUGGUUGCACCUGAAGUAGCAGGCCUAACCGUAAGGAGGGAUGCUCCGAGGGUGUGAUUAGCGAUUGGGGUGAAGUCGUAACAAGGUAUCCGUACGGGAACGU